rnacentral:lncRNA from 1 species
AUGUCUUCUGAUCCUCAACUCCUCAAGCUUCCUGAUCUUCUCCAGGUCAUCGUCUGGGUCGUCCCAGGCCCCUGGAAGGGAAGAAGGUUGCGGAGAGGCCCGUUGGGGAACAACCAGAGCUUGUUGGUGGGGGUGUUGGUAUGCCAGCACAAACUGGGUUUCUGUUACCAUGGGGGUCUCCAAAGAGAGCCUCCUCUUCUGCGCCGAAAACUUUCAGCUAAGCGGGAACUCUUGAGAGUAAUUAGUCUCUACCCGUAGGUAUGAGACAUUGCACUAAAGCGUAAAGUGUAAUUGUUAGAGAUGAAAAGCAGAAACUGGAAAGUGUCUGUGUGUGUGUGUGUGUGUGUGUGUGUGUGUGUGUGUGUGUGUGUGUGUGUGUGUGUGUGUGUGUGUGUGUGUGUGUGUCGGUGGAUGAGUGUUUUGAAGGGUUUUUUAUUGUCAGCCUGUUUUUAAAAUUCUGGGGAUGGCAGGGAAUGUGGGUAUGUGGGGCCUUUUUAAUUUGUUAAGCACUUUGAGUUGAUUAUAUGGAAGUCAAGUGUGCCACAUAAUCAUAAAAAAGGUAAAAUAUGAAAUUUUAAAAGAGAUUUAUAUAUUUAUAUAUAAAUUAAAACUUUCCAAAUAUAAUGAAAAUGUAUAAAUAACGUAAAAAUACAAAGGAACAUCUGUUGGUCAGGCUGAAAAGUUUGGGAACUACUGCUGUAAGUGAUAAGUGAAUAUUGUUAUUUAAAUAUAUUUUAUGUGCAGUUUUUUUUAGGGCUUUUAUGUUUUCUGUAAAGAUCGGUAUGCUGAAAAUCAUUUAAUGUUUUGCAUAAAGCACGAGGGUUUGGUUAGUAAUUGAUUGGGAGAAUAACAAAUGACUGAAUUAAAUAGUGGGGCGCCUGUCAGUGCGCCCCAGGGCAGCUGUGGCUGCAUCGUAGCUCAUCACCAUCAGUGUGUGAAUGUGUGUGUGAAUGGAUGAAUGAUACACUGUAGUGUGAAGCGCUUUGGAGUCCUUACUCUGAGAGGCGCUAUACAAGUGCGGGUCAUUUAUCAUUUAUAGUGUUGAUCAGGUAGAGUGUUUGGGGGAGGGUACAUUGGAACUUUAUCCCCCCCAGUUUGAAAAUCCUAUCUGCGCCCCUGUCUACAAAUGAACCCUGCAGGUGUUACAGCUGCUGUGGGAGUUCAGAGUUAGAUUUUUAGGAGUUAUUUUGUCCAAAGUGGCUCCUACAGAGUUGAUUAGGCAACACUGCAUUUUAACUCUCAUGUCAGUGUUACAUAUCAACUAUAUAACUGGUUUUAGUGUUAAAUUAACUAUUCUUGGUGUUAAAUUGGACCAACACCAGAAAUUUAACACUUUUGAAUUUGCUGUGAUGUAUUGUUGUUUAUUUUUAUUUUUUUCUCUAAGACAACAACUCUUACAGUCACGUGUAAACAUCUGUUUUUGUAAAGGCCAUUAGAACGAAGACUUUAAGGGGAAAAGUGCAUCUCUCUCUCUCUCUGAUAGACCGAUAUUAUUCCUCCUUUUAAGAGUUUGUUUGUCCGCCGCUCAGAAAUAGUUCUGCUGUUGCAGCGACCCGGAGUCCAUUUGGAGAGCCCUUCGCCAAACGCCGCACUUAUGAAAGUUUCCCUCUUGAUUAUGGGCACGUUAGCCAUGACCCGGUGAUCUCUAAUCACGUCCAUCUCUCCGAGCCCCGUAUCGAUCGUGGCUGCAGAGCAGCAGUGAAUCUCCCUUAUUGAUCUGCUUUGAUUCCUCCGUUUCAUCUCCUCGUAGCUCAACUAAUUGGCCUAUUCUUCGCCAACAAGUCUGACUUUUAUGCCCGAUAUUACAGAGCCGUAUUUGUUCCCUUGAGGGGAAAAACAAAUUAAAGGGAGGGAUUUCUUUCCCUUCCUCUGCCUGAUCUUUCCCUUUUUUCGUAGCGGUAUAAUUCUUAUGAAGCCUUUUCUGUACUGGAUGCUCAUAAAUUCCAAGAAGAAAUCAUUAUUUUCUCAUAAAUGUGAUGAAAUUGCUCUCAUCGGGCGGGCUGUGAUGUAAAAGCACUUUAUGAGAUGGACUAUCGUUCCAACACGUCACGUGGCCACUGCUCUGGUUUCUGAUUGGAUGAGCAGCAUUGGAGGUAAUGCCAUUUUAUUAAACGGAGGCUCAUAGACUUUUUCCAUCUGGGAACAGAGGAUCCUCCUCUUCCAUCUCGUUGUCAAGCUGGAAUUAAAGAUGAAAAGUGACCCGAUGUGUCUGCUCACUCUUCCUCCCUUCCUUUGAGGGACUUUGUGUCUCCGUAAAGACAAUCUGUCUUUGUGGCUCGUAGUAAACACGCUGCAUUCCUGCUGGUGUGUCCCCUUUAGCCUCGAGGCAAGUAUUGACCAAUGCAUUACAGGUUUUCUCCGGCUGGAGUGAUUACAGCGUUUAGCUUAGAUUUACUCACCGGUUGGGGAGACGAGGCCAUCUAAAGGAGAUGGAGUACUCUGGAGGUGGGAGGUUGGGAGGUAAACUCCACAGGGACAAACGUCCAGGCGUCUCUGAAAGCUGACUCAUUGGAUGCAGCGAGUUACUCACCGAAAGGUUCAUUGAUGCAAAUGUCCACAGGAGACAAAGGGGAGGAGGUUGGACAGGGAUGCACAUGUGAUCACCUAAAGGAAACAAGCUAACUUUUAAAAGUCAUGCAUGCCUUCCUACUCUGCAGCGUGUCCGAGCGUUGGUUUAAGCUCAAUUCAAUUAUUUAUGAAGCGCCAAAUCACGACAAGAGUCGUCUCAAGGCACUUCACAUAAUAAACAUUCCAAUACAGGUCAGUUCAUUAAGCCAAUCAGAAAUAAUGUGUCCUAUAUAAGGAACCCAGCAAAUUGCAUCGAGUCACUGACUGACUCUUGGACUGACCGUCAGGCUCCGGCUCCAUUCUUCUCUCCUCAUGUCAGAAAGUCUGACAGCACAUUUGAACCUUUGUGUUUUGUUGAAGCUAAAACUCUACUUCAUAAAAAUGAAGAUAUUCAAGUAAAAAUGUGAUGUUUAAACAUUUUAGAUCAUUGCAUAUUAAAGGGGCAUUAUGGAAGUGUGACAGCCAAAACAUGUAUAGAAAUAAUAAAUGUCUUCUUCAUACAUUCUCCUGCAAUGCCCUGGUCCUGUAGAAUGAGCCCUGGCAUUUUUACUGUGAUUGGCUGUUUUUCUGUAAAAUCACAGAAAAAGAGAGAUGCUCGGGUCGAGCAGGCUGCUUCAUGCGCGUUCACGCUCAGGCAUCGCCCGUAGCAUUUGCUAUCCGUAGCUUUAGCAGCAGAGAGAGAGGCAGUGCCACUUUGUCGCUGUUCCUAACGCCUAGUGACAAAGCUAGCUACAUUUCUGAGGACCCUUAGCUACUUUCUGUAGAACUUUCUUCUAGAUAUUUCCUGCAAAUUAGCAACAAAAUAGCCAUUUUC